CUCUACAGGGAGAUGACUGUCUGCAGUUGCCUAAUCAUGGCAUCGUACGGGUGCUUAAGUGAAGAUCUCAACUCUCCGAUGGCUCAAUGAGACGCCACAUACUUGGUGGAAAUUUCAAAUACAAGUCGAAUCUUGAUCUCCAAUCUCCCUAUUGAAAACCUGGCUACAAUUUUGCCCCUUCCAACAAAUACCAUUCUAUAAAUGGAUUCAGUCAAAUUUCCGUCCAAUACAACAUCUUGGAUUAGAGAAGUGGUGCCUCUCAUCCCUUUCAUGUUCAAGUCUUUGAGGGAAAGGGGGUUACUAGUCAAAGUAAAGGUCAUCUUCUCUGCAAUUGAGGAUCUGUGGCUUAGCCCAUUCAUGAAUGGGGCCGACUUGACUGUACAGUCAGAUGAUCAGGACCACCACCCAACUGCUUACCCCUUCUGUUGUGGAUGAUUGUAUAGAAGACAAACUGAUGGUAGAAUCCGAGCUACUUGACUUAAAAGCUACAUAGUCAAAUUAUCAAGACUACACAUCUGCGCACACCUACCAUUUACAGGUGUUUGUACAAGAAGCACACAGAUAGGAGAAUCCUAGCUUUCUGAUUUUCUGUUGAAUGUGGACUAUUGGCUGAUUUUUUUCAUCGCCCGGUUGCUGAAUGUUGAAGGCUGUUACUCUGACAAUAGGAUUGUCUGAUUGAUGUGAUAUUUAUACAGUUGCCUGUCAAUCACUGGGCUUACAAGAUUGACAUACCAUAUGACCCAGUCUCAAGCCAUGCAUGCCCAGUCAAGCAAUAGACCCUUAAGCAUAAGGGCAGGUUCCAAAUUGAAAAUGAGUCAAUAGGCCUCUCAAAUUCUAUGUCACAGGUGGGAAAUCUCGUCUUCGAAAGGGAUUCUUUGGGUCGAGCAUGGAUUUUUUUUUCAUUGCUUAUGAGUUCAUCAGCUUCUAGGCUUCACGAAUAGGUUUUGGGAAGCAAAAGUGACUUUACUAGCUGUUUUUAGCUCUAUCCUCGUAUUGAAUUAGAAAGUCAAUGUAUAAAUGAAUGUUUGAGUAGAGGUAGAAAGAGAGCUUGUAUUUA